rnacentral:rRNA from 1 species
GUGAGGAAUAUUGCGCAAUGGAGGCAACUCUGACGCAGCCAUGCCGCGUGCAGGAAGAAGGCGCUACGCGUUGCAAACUGCUUUUAACCGGGAAGAAACCCCAGGACGUGUCCUGGGUUGACGGUACCGGAGGAAUAAGCACCGGCUAACUUCGUGCCAGCAGCCGCGGUAAUACGAAGGGUGCAAGCGUUAUCCGGAUUCAUUGGGUUUAAAGGGUGCGUAGGCGGAGCGUUAAGUCAGUGGUGAAAUCCUGCAGCUUAACUGUAGACUUGCCAUUGAUACUGGCGCUCUUGAGUGCGCUUGAAGUGGGCGGAAUGUGCCGUGUAGCGGUGAAAUGCUUAGAUAUGGCACAGAACACCAAUUGCGAAGGCAGCUCACUAAGGCGAUACUGACGCUGAGGCACGAAAGCGUGGGGAUCGAACAGGAUUAGAAACCCUAGUAGUCC